ACGGGGUCUGGAGCCUUCAGACGCUCUGCUGGGUCUCCUCAGUGUUGGACAAAGACAAGAAGAAGAAGAAGGUUUGUGCUGCUGUGAGAGGAGCCCUGAGAUCUGGACUGGACCAGGUGAGUCGCUCUGGGCCCAGAACCAGGAGCUUCCAGCUUUAACCCUGAUCCAGCCCAGGGCAGCUGUGGCUCAUCGGCGUGUAACUCUUGUGUUAUAAAGUGCCUUGGGGGGUUAGGCUGGAUAAAAACUGCUUAUUUGAUGUUUAAUGACAUUCAUUUUUAACUGAAGCUUUUAAAACAAACUUUUUCCCGAACGAGUUUUUUAAACAAACAGAUUGAAAAGAAUUUAAAAAUCAAUAAAAUAUUUACAUUUACUGACAUCCUCCGGUUACCUGGGUCAUCACCUUCACCUGGUCUCCUUCACCAACAUGGUCUCCUGGACCUGGUCUCCUUCUCUUCCUGGUGUUCUGAGGUAUUCUGCUCCACCAGGAGAAAAGUUUAGUCUCCAUCCAGCUGGAACCUCUCACAUGCCGGAUGAAGGAGCUAUGGUGACCUGCAGCUCCUGAACAGGUCACCUCCACCAUUUUUGCUGUGAAUAGAGUCUGAGGAAGACCAAUGAGUUAAAGUUGCAGUCGUGAACCAUGAGCUGAUCACACAGUCACACUGCAGUCACGUGAAGUUUAAACAUCCCACGUUGUUUUGGUGCUCGCGAAAGUUCUGGAAUCACCCAGUCUGCAGGAGCUCCACAGAAACUGCUGGUCUGAUGGGUCUGCUGCACUUCUGGACUUCAACCAGGCUGCAAAAGUAAAUAAACAACAAUAUUUUCAACAACCUCAGCGGUCACAUGGGACUCGAACGUCAUCAUCGUCUUCUUUUCUGGCUGACUUCUGUGGAGGAACACGGAGAUGUUUGAGUUUAUGACGUUGAGCAGGAU